AUUGAACGCUGGCGGCGUGCUUUACACAUGCAAGUCGAACGGUAACAGGGAGCUUGCUCCGCUGACGAGUGGCGAACGGGUGAGUAAUGCAUCGGAACGUGCCGUGUAGUGGGGGAUAACGUAGCGAAAGUUACGCUAAUACCGCAUACGCCCUGAGGGGGAAAGUGGGGGACCGCAAGGCCUCACGCUAUACGAGCGGCCGAUGUCGGAUUAGCUAGUUGGUAGGGUAAAGGCCUACCAAGGCGACGAUCCGUAGCGGGUCUGAGAGGAUGAUCCGCCACACUGGGACUGAGACACGGCCCAGACUCCUACGGGAGGCAGCAGUGGGGAAUUUUGGACAAUGGGCGCAAGCCUGAUCCAGCCAUGCCGCGUGAGUGAAGAAGGCCUUCGGGUUGUAAAGGCUCUUUCAGACGGAAAGAAAUACGGUGUGUCUAAUACACGCACUGGAUGACGGUACCGUAAGAAGAAGACACCGGCUAACUACGUG
rnacentral:rRNA from 1 species